AUGUCUUUUUUUCCUCCCUCUCUCUCGCGCUCUCUCUCGCUCUUUCUCUCUCUCAGUAUGACUCUGAGGGAUCAGGAGUAAGACAAACUCGUCUCAAGUGCUCAAAUAACUGCAAGAUUUGCGCGCCUCACAUUCUAAAUAAAAGCAUAGAGGCUGGCAGUUUAUCGCCAGUUCACCCUAUGGGCUCAAGGGAGAAUUGGACGAUGUGUACGGCGUUUCCUCCCUGCGUGUGUCGUCUCUUCCAUAAGGUUUCUCUGGUGAUGUAGCUAUGUACCAUGACCCAGCAGCUCUUUGUCUUGUCUGGUUCUUGUCAGAAGGUCUGAUGUCUAGACCGUGUGCUCCUUCAUGUGUGGUCCAGUUGAACUCUCCUUGACCAUUAGCUGGACCACAAACAGACCAGCAGCUACUGUGACCGCACUUCACAACUACUUCACCUUGACUCUUCACCCCUUUACCUUUGAACCCUCACCCCUGACCCAUACUCUUGACCUCUAACCCCUCACUCCAAACCCUUAACCUUACUCCUCUCCUCUCCUCUCCUCUCCUCUCCUCUCCUCUCCUC